AUGCCCAGGGUGGCCCUGGGAGAAGAAUCUGAUGAAAUGAAUUCACACACUACACUGUGGGGAACAGAGGGGCUCUGGGAAGUUUGCUCCCAAGGGUUGGCCAGUUAUUACCAUUUUGAAAGCGUCAGGAGUGGGCAGCAAGGAGCAGAGAGGGAGAAGAGGACAAAAGGGUGGGCUUGCUGGGAAGGAGAUCUGGUGGGGCCCCAGGGUGGGGGGAUCUCAGGUGCAGGUGCUCAGCGGGGUCCCACCGUCUCUGUCCACUGGCGCAGCUGUCUCCUGGCCACAUGUGCGCCGAGCAAGCCUGAGAACCCUCUCCAGGGCUGCGCUUCACAGACACCGGACUGGACCCUGGGACACUCAUCCCCCCCGCGCCCCCCAGGCCAAGGCCAGGCUCAGAGGGUAGAGGUGAGGCCGGGAGCGCCUGAGCCAGCCUCAUCCCUGCUGGGACACCUCCCAGAGGCCAGCUCCCUCUGCACUCAUCCUUUCAGCCACUGCCUUCUCUUCCUGAGGCUAACCCAGCCUCCCCCCUUCGAAUUAUUUUUGCCACAGCGGGGCUCGAGGCCAACUCCUUCUCUAAAGCCCCUUGUCCAAGGCCCCGCGGAUGCAUACAGACGGCGAUUGAGCAGCGCCCCGCCCGCUGGGCCCUGGCCCAGCCAGCCUGGUUGGAAGAGGAGGUCAGGCUCCGCGAGAUCCCCAGUGAUGUGGUUGCCCAAGCCCCAGGGACACCGCCACAGCCGGUCCUGAGACGAAAAGGACGCUGCUCAGAGGAGGAUUCCUCGGUGUGCACACCCACGGGUCUGAGCAGUCCCUGCGGGGGCCCACUGGUCACAGCCUCCUGGGCAGACACAGGACAAGGACAGGGCAACUGGAAAUACAGUGAGGAACGAGUGACUUCUGAGGAAGAGCAAUGAGACCGUCUCUCGUGCCGAGGGACAGUUUCAGGUCAUGGUGCAAGCAGCAGCUUUGCUGUCACAGCCCUGGUCUUGAGUCUGCCCCCUGUGCCUCAUGGCUGUAUGACCCUCUGACCCUGGCACGGGGCUGAACUCUUGGGUAUCUGCAUCUGAAGAAACCUUUCAUGUCGUGAGGGCCAGCAACUGUGUUUUCAAUGUGCUUGACCUCUAGUAUGUGCAUAGGAUGCUUUACUUUUUUUUUUUUAAGAGUUUAUUUAAAAACAAAAUAAAGAGAUUUUUUUAAAUUUAUUUGUUCA
rnacentral:lncRNA from 12 species